CCUACCAUGCAAGUCGAGCGGAUGAGGGAGCUUGCUCCUGGAUUCAGCGGCGGACGGGUGAGUAAUGCCUAGGAAUCUGCCUGGUAGUGGGGGACAACGUUUCGAAAGGAACGCUAAUACCGCAUACGUCCUACGGGAGAAAGCAGGGGACCUUCGGGCCUUGCGCUAUCAGAUGAGCCUAGGUCGGAUUAGCUAGUUGGUGAGGUAAUGGCUCACCAAGGCGACGAUCCGUAACUGGUCAGACACGGUCCAGACUCCUACGGGAGGCAGCAGUGGGGAAUAUUGGACAAUGGGCGAAAGCCUGAUCCAGCCAUGCCGCGUGUGUGAAGAAGGUCUUCGGAUUGUAAAGCACUUUAAGUUGGGAGGAAGGGCAGUAAAUUAAUACUUUGCUGUUUUGACGUUACCGACAGAAUAAGCACCGGCUAACUCUGUGCCAGCAGCCGCGGUAAUACAGAGGGUGCAAGCGUUAAUCGGAAUUACUGGGCGUAAAGCGCGCGUAGGUGGUUCGUUAAGUUGGAUGUGAAAUCCCCGGGCUCAACCUGGGAACUGCAUCCAAAACUGGCGAGCUAGA
rnacentral:rRNA from 1 species